AGGGUAUUGCACGGGGUGCAAUACCUCAAAUCUCAGCCGUCUGUGUAAUCCAAAGCCCAUUAGUUUGACACGUUAUAACUCCAGCCUGGCAAGCCGUGUCUCCCACUUUUUCUUUUCAUUUUAGCUACCCAAUUUGAAUUCAGUAAAACACUCUCUCUCCCACCUCAACUGGGUUUCUCUUUCUCUCCCUAACGCUCCAUUCUCUCAACCCGACUGUGCUUCCACCACUCUCUCAACCUCCAUACUUGCUCUGUGCGUCUCUCUCAAGUCCUCAACCCCUUCAUCACCGUUAGCAGCAUACCCAACUCAGACCCAUCAGCAAAAACAAAGAAAAAAUAGCAACUCACCAUCUGAAACCAAAUCCCCAAACACUUACACGAGCACUUUUUAGACCUAGAUGAGAGAGAGAGAGAGAGCGAGAGCAAGGGUUAGGGUUUGGAGAGAAUCGGGUGUAGAGAGAAGCUGAUACUUUUGGGAUCAACUUCUGGGGUUUGAUCUAGGGAGGGAAGUGAGAUUGAGAAAUUUGGUCCGAAGAAGCCACCAUCGGAGGUGGUGCUGAGUGGUGGUUGUGAUGAGCCAUGGCAGCAGAGAGAGAGGAAGAGGCUGACUGGUCCGGAUGACAUAGAAGCCAAGCCUACUCGAUUUGUUUUUCAACACUACAGGAUGACAUAGAAGUGAAGCCUACUCAACCUACCACAAAGUUGGCUUUGUUCAUGAAAUUUUUUUUGAGAAACUGUUCAUGAAAUUGUAGAUAUAAAGAAAAUGACUCAUAUUUAUUUUGGUUGGGAUCAUUAUCAAGAUGUGGCUAUUUUGGCUU